rnacentral:rRNA from 1 species
AAUGGCAGGUCAGCAUACUGCCGUGAAUACGUUCCCGGGCCCUUGUACACACCGCCCGUCACACCAUGAGAGUUGGGAAUACCCGAAGCCUGUGAGCUAACUUUUAGAGGCAGCAGUCGAAGGUAGAAUCAAUGAUUGGGGUGAAGUCGUAACAAGGUAGC